UACGUAGGGGGCAAGCGUUGUCCGGAUUUAUUGGGCGUAAAGCGCGUGUAGGCGGCCAGAUAGGUCUGCUGUGAAAACUCGAGGCUCAACCUCGAGCUGUCGGCGGAAACCAUCUGGCUAGAGUCCGGAAGAGGAGAGUGGAAUUCCUGGUGUAGCGGUGAAAUGCGUAGAGAUCGGGAAGAACAUCGGUGGCGAAAGCGCUCUACUGGACGGUAUCUGACACUGAGGGACGAAAGCUAGGGGAGCGAAUGGG
rnacentral:rRNA from 1 species